rnacentral:rRNA from 1 species
GAUGAACGCUGGCGGCGUGCCUAAUACAUGCAAGUCGAGCGAACGGACGAGAAGCUUGCUUCUCUGAUGUUAGCGGCGGACGGGUGAGUAACACGUGGAUAACCUACCUAUAAGACUGGGAUAACUUCGGGAAACCGGAGCUAAUACCGGAUAAUAUUUUGAACCGCAUGGUUCAAAAGUAAAAGACGGUCUUGCUGUCACUUAUAGAUGGAUCCGCGCUGCAUUAGCUAGUUGGUAAGGUAACGGCUUACCAAGGCAACGAUGCAUAGCCGACCUGAGAGGGUGAUCGGCCACACUGGAACUGAGACACGGUCCAGACUCCUACGGGAGGCAGCAGUAGGGAAUCUUCCGCAAUGGGCGAAAGCCUGACGGAGCAACGCCGCGUGAGUGAUGAAGGUCUUCGGAUCGUAAAACUCUGUUAUUAGGGAAGAAUAUAUGUGUAAGUAACUGUGCACAUCUUGACGGUACCUAAUCAGAAAGCCACGGCUAACUACGUGCCAGCAGCCGCGGUAAUACGUAGGUGGCAAGCGUUAUCCGGAAUUAUUGGGCGUAAAGCGCGCGUAGGCGGUUUUUUAAGUCUGAUGUGAAAGCCCACGGCUCAACCGUGGAGGGUCAUUGGAAACUGGAAAACUUGAGUGCAGAAGAGGAAAGUGGAACUCCAUGUGUAGCGGUGAAAUGUGCAGAGAUAUGGAGGAACACCAGUGGCGAAGGCGACUUUCUGGUCUGUAACUGACGCUGAUGUGCGAAAGCGUGGGGAUCAAACAGGAUUAGAUACCCUGGUAGUCCACGCCGUAAACGAUGAGUGCUAAGUGUUAGGGGGUUUCCGCCCCUUAGUGCUGCAGCUAACGCAUUAAGCACUCCGCCUGGGGAGUACGACCGCAAGGUUGAAACUCAAAGGAAUUGACGGGGACCCGCACAAGCGGUGGAGCAUGUGGUUUAAUUCGAAGCAACGCGAAGAACCUUACCAAAUCUUGACAUCCUUUGACAACUCUAGAGAUAGAGCCUUCCCCUUCGGGGGACAAAGUGACAGGUGGUGCAUGGUUGUCGUCAGCUCGUGUCGUGAGAUGUUGGGUUAAGUCCCGCAACGAGCGCAACCCUUAAGCUUAGUUGCCAUCAUUAAGUUGGGCACUCUAAGUUGACUGCCGGUGACAAACCGGAGGAAGGUGGGGAUGACGUCAAAUCAUCAUGCCCCUUAUGAUUUGGGCUACACACGUGCUACAAUGGACAAUACAAAGGGCAGCGAAACCGCGAGGUCAAGCAAAUCCCAUAAAGUUGUUCUCAGUUCGGAUUGUAGUCUGCAACUCGACUACAUGAAGCUGGAAUCGCUAGUAAUCGUAGAUCAGCAUGCUACGGUGAAUACGUUCCCGGGUCU